AGUGCUGGGAUUACAGGCUUGAGCCACCGCGCCCGGCCGACAGAAUUGGUUUUAUGGUCCCACCUAACUGCAGGGACUGAGAAAUGUAGAGGUGCGAAUGUUACUUGUGGUGAGCGUUACCGUCUCUGCUGCGUGUCAUUAGCAUAUGGGAGGUGAUUAAAUCUGAAAGAGUAAGGACAAGAUCAAUCAAGGUAAAGCCCACAGAGCGAAAAGAGAAUGGCCGAGGACAAAACCCAGGGAAUCACCUUCUGUAAGUAAAACAAGGAAGAGAGGAGCCCAAGGAUGACACCGAAAAGUGACAUGAAAAGAGUUAAGAACUAUGAGCCAAUAGUGUCACUCGAGCCAAGGAAGUAUGUCUAUACAGAGGUGUAGAGCAGCAAAUACAGCCUGGAGGAGCAGAAGGAUAAAGACUGAAGUCUCCACUGCAUUUGGCCAUCAAGAGGGGGCUGGAUAACAUCUUAAUAGAAGUGUCUCCUUGCAGUGAAUAUUUACCUAGGUUUUUGUUCUAGAAAAAAAUGGUCACUUCUAGAGCUGUAUGGGACAGGGCUGUGUUCCUGAGGCCAUAGCCCCCAGAAGUCUUCUGAAAGUGACGGUGGCAAUUCAGAGAUUCUUUCAGAUUUCACUAAGGAGAAGGAAUUGUGGGCAUAAUGGGAGUGGAACACAAGGAUGGAGGUAAGGAGACCAUCUAAGAAGCUGCUUCAGUGGUCCAGGUGAGAGCGAUAAUGGACAUGAACUUAUGGAUUUGAACUUUUUAAAGAUCAGUCAAGAUCAAGACAGUGAAUACGACAGGGAAAGGUCCAACUCAAACAAAUCCAACUGUGGGUUGGUGGAGAAAGAUGAUUUUUUUUCAGCAAUGAUAACUGAGUGACAUUCAGGCUAAAACAAAACCACCAACCCACAGAAAAGCACCUCUAAUACCAAAGGGUGAGUGUUUCAGAGCAUGAAGGAGGAAAGUCAGCAACUAAACUUCUUUGUCAACUGCUCCUCCAUUUAGCUUUACUAUUAAUAAUUGAGUCCUCACUUAAAUAGCCACUUGUAACCUCACACCUCCAAACCUUGUAGCUGCUCAUGGCUGUGAUUUUUACUUUACACAUAGAGAAAGAGAUGCUGAGACCUAUUUUUCUCUCUCUCUGACCUUACACUGUAGUUCUUUUAUUCGCCUCUCCAAGUCUCCUUUUGGGAUUGAUGAAAACUCUGUGUGUUAGAAAAGGAAGCCCUUUCCAUUUUCCUACCCAAAUUCCUCCUCUGCCAAGUUGCUUAGUUUCUAUGAAGGAGUUACUGCUGCAGAAUCUUCAGACUUCAUUAUUAGGUUUGGUUUUGGUUGAUGUCUUUUAAUGAUGUGGAGAGAGGUGAUAACUGCAUAUUAAUGAGACUCACAAAGGAACCAAAUGGAAAGCUGUUGCAGACUCCAGUGGUGACAGCAAUAAACUAGAACUCUGGAGAGAACUGACUGACAAGUGGGGAGCAACAACAUGUGCUGAAACCUGCGCAUGUGAUACUGACACUGCCGGGAAAAGAAGCACAGGUUUAAACAUUUUUUUUAAAGGGAAGAAGAAAUGUGUAAAACAGCAGUCAAGAGAAGAGUCUUAAGGAUGAAAUGAAAAUGAAAUGCUGAAUUUGCACAAACCUAGUCUCCAUGGGAGGAAGUCGAAAGGAUGCGGUAAUUCUGCUGACCUCGCUCGGCACCUUCCACCUUACCUUUCUCCCCCAUGAUGAUGGUCACAGGUCCCAGGUCGAGAAAGCCAGUAUAUCCCAAUCUCAUAAACACACUGGUUCUGGUAUAGACAUGUAACCUGAUGAGUCAAAUAAGACUCAAUUCUGGGAUUUUGUAUUUUAUUUUAUUAGAACUAGUAUAAAAAUAAGAAGCUUUCAUCCGACAAGGAUUGGAAGUUAUAGUUAGUAUACACCUAUAGCUGUCAGAGUUCACCUAAUAGAGAAGACCUGGCUGUGAUUGAAAUCAACAUAAGGAAAAGCAGAGUUGACAACAGAGAGAGAGAGAGAGAAAGAGAGAGAGAGAGCGCGCGCGCGAGAGAGAUAGGGUAAAGGGGAAGAGAGGGAGAAAAAGAAAAAGAGAAUAAGCCCUCUGGAACCAGCCAUGCCUGAUGUCGUAACCCUUGGUUGCUCAAUUAUUAAUAAAUUUCUUUUUGUAUAAGCCA